GUUGCGCUUUAUUCCUCCCUUUUUGCAGUGACGUAACUUUAGCGGGUCUGAGUUCUCUGGGUUGACCGGCCUAAAGCAAGGGUUCAUAUUCAUUGAUUCAACUGUGCCUUUGUUCAUAUGAAGGUUGAUUUAUACAUACCGAUUUGACCCUGAUUUUUUGACCUUCAUGGGAAAUUUUGCGAAGCUCAGACCUCGAGGGACGCAUGAAGUGGUCGGUUCUUUCUAUGGGAAGUAUCAGUCUUGCAAUGGUGCCAACAAAUUUCAUUGAAGUUCAUUUUUGAGAACCUUGAGUAAAUAAGGUGAUCAGACCAUCCACCAGCGUGGGAAAACAUCCAGCAUCAAGGAGCUAGCCCUGCACCCAGGUGCAACAGAUCCACCAUCAGCUGGAGGUGAGCCCAGACCUGGA